rnacentral:lncRNA from 1 species
CUAAGUUCCCCACGUACCCAAUCAUCUUGAGCACAUGUGGACUUACUAGAGAUCCCUCAGAUAGCUUGGCUGAAAACAGGGCUUUGGAAACCUCAAACCUCUCAAUCCUGGCCUGCUCUUGGUAGAGCGUCUUCAAGUGUUCGAUCAUAUCGAACGCAUUCAUGUCCUCAUGUUGCUUCUGAAGCUCAGAGGUCAUGGUAGCCAGCAUGAGGC